GCUCCUCUGUGGUUUGAUUCAACACUGACAAGGAAUAUGGACAUCCCUGAGAAGGCCUAAUGGCUCUUACCUGGACAAGACCCACAUCGGAAAGCACAGGUGCCUGCAGGAGGUGUUCUCUAGCUCAAUUCACCUCAGUGCCUGGGAGCGCAAAGGAGAGGGAUGUCUGCAAUCUGCUUUCCCCUCAAGAAUCAAAGACUAGUGCCACAGCAGGGGUCACAGGAGACUCAGCCAGAAGAAAGCCCUGAGCUUGCUCCUCUGUUUGCUUUCAGAAGUCAUUGUUGAUCUGAUACGUUUUCUGAUGCUGGCCUAUCUCCUGCUCAGGAGCUGGCAUAGGAUAGACUCACAACACCCACUUAAGGGACUUGGUUCUUCCCCAAAAGCACUUAUAAGCCAAGACCCACUGACAAGGGAGAGUUCCCAUAAGGACGCUGCCUCAUCUCGGAGAUGGACCUGCCCGUGACUUGGACGUGAUCUUCCUACCUGCUCUGCCUUGUUCGAAUACUUUUGUUCUGUGGUUUGCCUGUCCAUGUUGAUGGCCUAUUCAGGUACACAGGUGGUUCUUGUUAUUUAUGGUAUUUAUGGCUUAUAAAGUUGCUGUGAAUUAGUAAAUACGGAACUGUUGUUCCUAAGAGAAAUAUAAGGUUAGGUUCCUGUGAGCCUCUGGUCAUGAGAAUAUUGUCAACCAGUUAAUACAGAACUUUGUUUCAUGUGUGUGUUUCUGUUUAAAGACACCUGUGUAAUAUAUCCUGUUGAUCAAGUAACACUCUACUCACUUUACCUCGUGCCUGAAGGUAGCUUUUACCUGCCACGUGUAUUUUCUCUCUGAGGCACCUCACCACCUUCUUGCCCUUAGGAAUGCUUGAUGGUGCUUCAGCACUAGGAUGUUUUCAAUAAUGAAAUCACCAGCAAAAAGCAAAAAAAUGUUUAAAAAAAGGCAUUAAAUACGCUACAGGGAGAACAGCAACAAGAGGGCAGAGGGGAGGCUGGUAUGACCUCAGCUAGGAUCGUGCAUGUCAGGUGACUCAAAUUUUUUGCUGCUUUGUUCAUGCCUGGAAUAAUUGUAAGAGUGCUGCGAUGAUUUGGCGGUUACAAAUAAAUUUUAGCAAGUAGGUGAACUCACAAAUAGGAAUCUGCAAAUGAGUCUUGUAGUGUAUCUCCAGCCUGGCGAUGUGAAGACCUUUGAAGAGUAG